GACGCAGUCUGAUCAGCCACGUCGCGUGAAGGAGACGGCCCUAUGGGUUGUAAACUUCUUUUGUACGGGAAUAAAGUGCUGUACGUGUACUGUUUUGCAUGUACCUUACGAAUAAGGAUCGGCUAACUCCGUGCCAGCAGCCGCGGUAAUACGGAGGAUCCGAGCGUUAUCCGGAUUUAUUGGGUUUAAAGGGUGCGCAGGCGGGAGAUUAAGUCAGCGGUGAAAUUUUGCAGCUUAACUGUAAAAGUGCCAUCGAUACUGGUUUCCUUGAAUGUAGAUGAAGUAGGCGGAAUUUGUGGUGUAGCGGUGAAAUGCAUAGAUAUCACGAGGAACUCCGAUUGCGCAGGCAGCUUACUAAACUACUACUGACGCUCAGGCACGAAGGCGUGGGGAUCAAACAGGAUUAGAUACCCUGGUAGUCCACGCAGUAAACGAUGAUUACUCGCUGUUUGCGAUAUACAGUAAGCGGCUUAGCGAAAGCGUUAAGUAAUCCACCUGGGGAGUACGUUCGCAAGAAUGAAACUCAAA
rnacentral:rRNA from 1 species